rnacentral:rRNA from 1 species
AACGUAGGUACCGAGCGUUAUCCGGAUUUACUGGGCGUAAAGCGCGUUCAGGCGGCUUGUCAAGUCGGGCAUGAAAUCUCUCGGCUCAACCGGGAGAGGUUGUCCGAUACUUCCAGACUUGAGGGCAGUAGAGGGUGGUGGAAUUCCGGGUGUAGUGGUGAAAUGCGUAGAUAUCCGGAGGAACACCAGUGGCGAAAGCGGCCACCUGGACUGCACCUGACGCUGAAACGCGAAAGCUAGGGGAGCGAACGGG